GACAUGCGGGUCCAUCCAUGCUUCAAAGAUGGCCCUUGAUCUUGUCCAGAGGAUUUUGAUUUUAUUAAAUGGGUAAUCAGAAGGCGGGGUGAGAUUUCGACGGUCCUGAUCAUGCAUGUGCAGUGUAAAAGCCUGGGCCGCGUGUACAUGACUUUUUGGGUGAGGGUUUACACUGAUAUCUGACCUGGUUUUCCCUCCAAACAAAACCCUUGAACAGUGGUUCCGCCAAAUUUUCCUUCGUUUUUUCCUCCGAGCCGAACAGAACCCUAAACCCAAGAUUGACACAAACUGUAACACAUGUUAAGAAUGAAAUCGCUUCUUUCUCCAAGUUUCUCAACCCUCUCUCCACAUCUCACCAAAACCACUCCUUUCUCUCUAUAUUUUCUGGCUUCAAAAUCCAUUCUCUGCAACUCCCAAAUUCUCAAAAACCCUGACUGUCUCCACAUAAAAUCCACAAUAUCUUCCAUGAAACCCUUAAUGUCUUCAAACUCCAUUCAAAGCCGUAGGGUUCAGAUUGAGGCGUCCCAGUCGUCUUCCGGAGAAAUUCACGUGAUUGUCGGGCCCAUGUUUGCCGGCAAGACCACCACUCUCCUUCGGCGAAUCCAAUCCGAAACCAGUAAUGGCAGUUUUCAGGUGAAGCCCCCAAGAAACUCCUUCCAUUUGGAUGAAACAUUAAAAGGUCUUUGUUUUUCUGGAAGAGUGAUGGAAGCAGUUGGGCUAUUGUGUCAAACAGGAUUGCAAGUUGAACCUGCAACAUAUGCUCUUCUAUUGCAAGAAUGCAUAUUCAAGAAAGAAUUUAAGACAGGAAGAAGAAUCCAUGCACAAAUGAUUGUUGUUGGAUAUUAUCCUGAUGAAUAUCUUAAGACUAAGUUAUUGAUUUUACAUGCAAAAACAGGGGAUCUAGACACUUCCCACAUUCUUUUUGAUGAUUUGUCAAAGAAAAGCUUGAUUUCAUGGAAUGCAAUGAUUGCUGGAUAUGUGCAAAAGGGCCUUGAAGAGGAGGGCUUGAAUCUUUAUGAUGAGAUGAGGCAAAGUGGUUUAACACCGGACCAAUACACAUUUGCAUCAGUAUUCAGAGCCUGUGCUACUUUAGCGACCCUUGAAAAGGGUAAGCAAGCCCAUUGUGUCAUGAUAAAGAGCCAAAUUAAAGAAAAUGUUGUAGUUAAUAGUGCCCUCAUGGAUAUGUACUUUAAAUGCAGCAGCCUCUAUGAUGGGCAUCGGGUAUUCAAUAAAUCAUUGAAUAGGAAUGUUAUCACUUGGACGGCUUUGAUAUCUGGGUAUGGUCAACAUGGAAGAGUUGCAGAGGUUUUGGUGUUUUUUAGUAAGAUGAAAACUGAAGGUUUUAGGCCAAAUUAUGUUACUUUUCUGGCAGUGAUUUCUGCUUGUAGUCAUGGAGGUCUGGUCAAUGAAGGUUGGGAAUAUUUCAUGUCAAUGACGAGAGAUUAUGGUAUUCAGCCCAGAGGGCAACAUUAUGCUGCCAUGGUUGACCUUUUAGGACGCGCUGGGAGGUUACACGAGGCUUUUGAGUUUGUUCAGAACUCACCUUGUGGGGAACACUCAGUGAUAUGGGGUGCUCUGCUUGGGGCAUGUAGGGUGCAUGGAAACAUAGACAUGUUGAGGUUUGCAGCAAAGAAAUAUUUUGAUUUGGAGCCAGAAAAUGCUGGAAAGUAUGUUGUCUUGUCUAAUGCUUAUGCCACUUUUGGAUUGUGGGACAAUGUUGCUGAGGUUAGAGGAGUGAUGAGGGAAUCAGGGAUGAGAAAGGAUCCUGGAUAUAGCAGGAUUGAGGUCCAAAGGGAGGUGCACUUCUUCCUUAUGGGGGAUAAAUCCCACAACCAGACUGAGCAGAUAUAUGAGGUGAUCAAAGAAGUGACUUGCAUUCUGAAAGAUGCUGGCUAUGUUCCUGAUUUAAGUGGCUGCUAAUUCUUUUUCCAGAAAGUGGCUCAUAUUUGUGAUAUUUUUCAUUUAUUGAAAAUUUUGUGCAAGUCUUGGAUUUGUUAAACUUCAAUUUUAAUGUUGCUGACAGAAAGAGAAAAUCUGCUUUAACUAUAAAUAUGUGCCAGAAAUAUCGCAGAAAAAUACAUGCCAUGGGCAUAUGAAUGCUUCAAGCUAAGUCCCCCCUUUGCCUUGUAUUCCAAGCACUGAAGGCAUCAUAAGCAAGAAAGGUAAAAAGUUUUCCAACUAGAGUUGUUGGACUAUCUUCUAGGGUGACAGCAAGAUUCUAGUUCAGGAAUAGUGACUCAAUUGGGCUGGUUGCAAUCUAUUCUUUCCCAUACGUUGGGCUUUGCAUGGAUUAUAAUAUUGUUGGGGUGAUGGGAAACUUACAGUGUAUCACUAAAUAGAUGGCUGCUCCAAGUUGAAGUUUGAAGAAUGUGCAUUAAGCUUUGUAUCUGCAUCUGUUGCCAGGCUGUUGAUCAGAUGUUUAGAAGGCAGGUAAUGUUUCAUUUUCAGAAAGGUAGCAAUAAUAAAAUCAAACAAGGACACAAGAUAUGGAUUGGAUUCCAUUGUGACUCAUGAUGGAGUGAAGUUGCC